AAGAAAAUAGCAAAGUGGUAUUGUGUCUGGCUUGAAACUAGAUAGUGGGGGUUCGAUUCCCUCUUUUCUUG
rnacentral:tRNA from 1 species